rnacentral:sRNA from 3 species
AUGUACCACUCGUACACUCCGGUUCCUGCGCGCCGUCCGCGCCCACCUGACAGCUGCUCGCUACGUUUUGUUAGCC